CAGCCUAUAAACGGACGCAAGUUAAUAUCGGUACGGCCGACCAUCGAAUCACCGUCGAAACCAAAUUCUACGGCGCAGGACCAGGUUUAAGAGAAGUAGUCAUCAUCGAACGAAACUCUUCAAAAUUCACAUUGCCAUCACCAUCGGCAUCCACCGGCUUAAUCAUCGCCACACAUCCAUCAACCGAGCACUUAAUUCCGAGCCUGUUCAACACCAAAUUCAACUCCUCCGCCGAAAUCAAGCCGUUCUUGUCCUGAUCGUAGAGAUCAAACGCCUCGCGGAGCUCGGCCUCGCCGGCGGCACCAGAGGAGGUCCGGC
rnacentral:lncRNA from 1 species